GUGUUUGCUUCAUCAGCACACACACUAAAACUGGAACGAUAAGAGAAGACUUGUACGGCCCCUGGGAAAGGAUGACACGCAAAUUUGUGAAGCGUUCCAUGUUUUU